GACGAACGCUGGCGGCGUGCCUAACACAUGCAAGUCCAGGAGAAUUGGUUUCUUCGGAAUCCAUAGUAAACUGGCGAACGGGUGAGUAACACGUAAGUAACCUGCCCUGGAGACGGGGAUAACACUGCUAACGCGGUGCUAAUACCGGAUAAUGCAGCGGAUCCGCAUGGAUAUGUUGUUAAAGCUGGCCUCUUCAUGAAAGCUAGCACUUCAGGAUGGACUUGCGUCCCAUUAGUUAGUUGGCGGGGUAACGGCCCACCAAGACCGCGAUGGGUAGCCGGCCUGAGAGGGUGAUCGGCCACACUGGGACUGAGAUACGGCCCAGACUCCUACGGGAGGCAGCAGUGAGGAAUAUUGCGCAAUGGUCGCAAGACUGACGCAGCAACGCCGCGUGAGGGAUGAAGUACUUCGGUAUGUAAACCUCGUGUUAGAAGGAAAGAACGGGUGGUUGUCGAAUAGGCAGCCGCCGUGACGGUACCUUCAGAGAAAGCCCCGGCUAACCUCCG
rnacentral:rRNA from 1 species